ACGCGGGAGAUCCAAUAAAUUUUCGUAUUUUUGUGCCUCUUUUCCCCAGUUUUUUUCUCCAAUUCUCUUCACUUUUUCAAUUUUGGUUAUUCCUUGGCAGUUUUGCUUCACUCUUAAUUGAUAUUUCAUCGAAAUCACUCCAAAUACUCAUGAAAAACAUGUAAUUACAAAGUGUCAUCACAACCGUAAACUUAAUAUGUUGCUUGUCCUCAAAUAGUUUGCCUACAAUUGCAUAUUUCAACAGAAAAAAUGCUACUAUAACCAAU
rnacentral:lncRNA from 1 species